rnacentral:rRNA from 1 species
ACUCCUACGGGAGGCAGCAGUGGGGAAUAUUGCACAAUGGGGGAAACCCUGAUGCAGCCAUGCCGCGUGUGUGAAGAAGGCCUUCGGGUUGUAAAGCACUUUCAGUAGGGAGGAAGGUAGUGUAGUUAACACCUGCACUAUUUGACGUUACCUACAGAAGAAGCACCGGCUAACUCCGUGCCAGCAGCCGCGGUAAUACGGAGGGUGCGAGCGUUAAUCGGAAUUACUGGGCGUAAAGCGCAUGCAGGCGGCCUGUUAAGUCAGAUGUGAAAGCCCGGGGCUUAACCUCGGAAUUGCAUUUGAAACUGGCAGGCUAGAGUCUUGUAGAGGGGGGUAGAAUUUCAGGUGUAGCGGUGAAAUGCGUAGAGAUCUGAAGGAAUACCAGUGGCGAAGGCGGCCCCCUGGACAAAGACUGACGCUCAGAUGCGAAAGCGUGGGGAGCAAACAGGAUUAGAUACCCUGGUAGGAAAGCG